rnacentral:rRNA from 1 species
CCCUUAGAUGUUCUGGGCCGCACGCGUGCUACACUGAGUGGAUCAGCGGGUCAGGUUGCGCGAAAGUGUUUCCUAAUCUUGAAAUCCGCUCGUGAUGGGGAUUGACGGUUGCAAUUUUCCGUCAUGAACGAGGAAUACCUUGUAAGCGCGGGUCAUCAUCCCGCGCUGAAUACGUCCCUGCCCUUUGUACACACCGCCCGUCGCUCCUACCGAUUGAGUGGUCCGGUGAGGCUUUGGGAUCUGAGCGGAAGGAGCGUUUCGCUGUUUCUGCUCGGAAAACUCAGUCGAACCUUAUCAUUUAGAGGAAGGAGAAGUCGUAACA